rnacentral:lncRNA from 1 species
UAAUUUCUCGUAUUUCGCAACGGUAACAUAAUCAACCCUUCUAUAUAAUUCCAUUGCCAUUCCACAUCUCUCCACACACGCACUGCACACACUAGCUACGUGUUUCAGGUUUCAGUCCCUUUCACAAUUAAAAUCAUCCUUCUUCAAUAAAUUGAUCGCCUAGUUAAAGAAAAUAAAGGUAAACAUAUAGCUUGAGAAAGAAAACUAAAACACCGCCAUGGCUGGUGAGCAGAGAGAUUGCCUUCUCUUUGUGGCGUUGUUUUGUUGUUUAGUACAUUUCUCGUAUUCUUACCAGUUCGUGGUCGGAGGUGGAGAUGGAUGGGUCGUCAAACCUUCCGAAGACUACAAUCAAUGGGCUUCGAGGAUGCGGUUUCAAGUCAAUGACACCCUUCGUGAGCCUCUCUCUCUCUUCUCUCUCUCUCUCUCUCUACAUGCUCUCAUCAUUCACAUAUAUCGUUGUUUUCUUUAUUGUAGUGUUCAAAUACAAGAGCGGAUCGGAUUCGGUGUUAGUGGUGGACAAAAACGACUACGACAGCUGCAGCGUCGCGAAUCCUUUGCUCAAACUCGACGACGGGAAUUCCAUCUUCAAGUUCAACCGCUCCGGCCCCUUCUACUUCAUCAGCGGCAACAAGGCUAACUGCGAUCAGGGCCAGAAGCUCAUCGUCGUCGUUUUAGCCAUCAGAACCCCACCGUCGCCGCAGGGAUCAUCGCCGCCAUCUCCGUCACCGGCAGGGAAAGGUGGAGCUCCUGGUCCUGGACCGGCUGGCUCGCCGUCCCAGCCUGGUGGAGCUCCCGCGCCGGCUAACUCGCCGUCAUCUCCGUCUCCGGCGUCAGGAGCGCCUGCGCCGGCGGGAUCUGGGUUGGGGCCGGCGCCGGCGGGAUCGGGGUUGGGGCCGGCUCCGGCGGAGUCGGGGUUGGGGCCGGCGGCCGGCGGGAUCGGGGUUGGAGCCGGCUCCUUCGGGUGUUUUACCUGGAUCGCCGUCAUCGUCGACGACGACGCCGGGAUCGCCUGGGUCUUCGACGCCCGGGAGUGGGACGCCGGCGGAUGCUAAUUCACCGCCGGCGCCGGGGGGGUCAUUGGCGGCGCCGUCAUGCAGCACCUCUGUUUCUUGAAGUCAGUGUUGACUGUGGUUUGGGUGUAUUUGUCUUGUCACCUUAAAUAUUUAGGUUCAUGAUUUGAUUAAGUUUUGGUAGGAAUAUUUUGGCAAAAUUUUUAUUAUUAUUAUACUACUAUUUGUCCGUGAUUCAGCCGAUUUUAUUUAUGAGAGAGUAAGGUUUGUAUACAUUCUCCCUUCUUCUUCUUUUUCUUUUUUUUUUUCUUUGUAAUUCUGGUUCCUUGUUUAAUUCAAAUAUAUUUGAUUAUGAUAUCUCGAAUAAUAUUCCGUCCAACUUUUUUAGGAUCAAUGUCUNCAACCCACUUGUCAGCGGGUUGGAUUAGCCCGACGGGCCUUUACCCAAAUUAAUAGCUUUAUUCCACAACUCAAUAUCUUUAUAUUUUCACUAAAUUUUAUAGACGAAAAAUGAUUUAAUAACUAAACGUAAGGCAUGAAAAUUUAAUGCAAAUACUUUUUUCAAUAUUGUAAAUGCAUUUUCUUAAUACGUGCGAAAGAGGGAUGCGUUUAUAUUUUUGUAUGGCAUGAAUAUAUGUAAAAUAUCUAUAUCAUUUUAUAUCAACGGUAUAGUCAAAGUCGCCUAAAAAAAAAAUCGGCCGAGAUAAGGUUAGCUCAAGCACUCUAACAAAGGAUUUUUUUUUUUCAAUCUUAUGAUUUUGAUUUUUUUUUAGUAAUAUUUUUGAAACUUGCCCCUAUUUUUUCAAAAGAAAGUGGAAAAUUUUGAGCUAGGCCUUUAUAUGUAGCAAUGCCCCCACUGCUUCAAAGUGUUAUAAAAUGGUCGUAGCUAGGUCGACCACCCUAAUUAAUAUUCACUCUCAAUCAGUUAUGAAUCCAUACCUUCCAAUCCAUGUUCCUAACCGUUGGGCUUACACGUAUUUUUUUCCAACCCAAAAUACGUUUCAAACUUUCAAUCAAUUAUAACACGUUGAUCAAUGUGUCAUCUUCUAGUGUAAUAUCAAAACGUAACAUAAAAAACAUUGAUUUUCUAAUUAUUUAAUUUUGACGAAAUAUAAUAUAGUAUUUCAGAAUAUGGAAUCCGGUACUAAAUAUGCGAAUCAGACAAGCACAACAGAGCACCUUAUUCCAUCCAAAAACAACAUAAAUACGUAAUUAAUUAGUAGAUAAAAGCAACGUUAUUAAUUUCUCGUAUUUCGCAACGGUAACAUAAAUCAACCCUUCUAUAUAAUUCCAUUGCCAUUCCACAUCUCUCCACACACGCACUGCACACACUAGCUACGUGUUUCAGGUUUCAGUCCCUUUCACAAUUAAAAUCAUCCUUCUUCAAUAAAUUGAUCGCCUAGUUAAAGAAAAUAAAGGUAAACAUAUAGCUUGAGAAAGAAAACUAAAACACCGCCAUGGCUGGUGAGCAGAGAGAUUGCCUUCUCUUUGUGGCGUUGUUUUGUUGUUUAGUACAUUUCUCGUAUUCUUACCAGUUCGUGGUCGGAGGUGGAGAUGGAUGGGUCGUCAAACCUUCCGAAGACUACAAUCAAUGGGCGUUCGAGGAUGCGGUUUCAAGUCAAUGACACCCUUCGUGAGCCUCUCUCUCUCUUCUCUCUCUCUCUCUCUCUCUACAUGCUCUCAUCAUUC